GUGGAGCCUGCUCUUGCUGCACCGGUGAAGACCCAGGACUGCAGUCCUUGGUCCUUACAGCAUUUGAAUGCCUUUCUCACAUGGCUCAUUCUUCCUCUCACCGAGGUUGCCUAAACCUGGGCUGCUUCUCUCAGUGAUUUCCUAAUAAAAGACUGCUUUCUACUCCAUUUGUUUGGCUCCUAUGACUUCUAUGCUCCUGGAAGCUCCUGGAGUCCUCACAUCUGUGACGGAGCCUAUGCAUGUGUUGUCUGAACCAGUACCUGUGCACAUGGGGUGGCUGCAGAGGAGGCAGGGAGAGCAGGCACCUGGACCUUCCAGCUCCCAUGGGGGACAUGGGCUCAGCUUCCCACUCCUGAGACCUACCUGGUGAAUAUGCUCUAAUUGUAGGAACAGUGUUUAUAUACAUAGCAGUCAAGAAAUGAAGGUUGGCCCUGGCCGGUGUGGCUCAGUUGGUUGGAUGUUGUCCCAUGCGCUGAAAGGUCCUGGUUUGAUUCCCAGUCAGGGCACAUACCAACAUACCAGGUUGUGGGUUUGAUACCCAAUCAGAGUGCAUAUGGGAAACAACAACCAAACAAUGUCUCUCUCUCUCUCUCUCUCUCUCUCUUCCUCUCUCAAAAUCAAUUUUUAAAAAUAUAUUUUAAAAAAAUGAAAUCAAAGUUGUCUAAACCAAUCUCAUGCCAACUGUGAGCACUGGGGCAGCUGCUCUGACCUUCCCUCCAUUUCGUCUUCUCACCCCAGCUUCUGGCUCAAGUUUAACCGAAGAUAAAAA